AGAGAGAUCCAAUGAGUUCUUUUUUUUUUUUUCCUUUCCUCUAAGGGUCACAAAUUCGUGGAUUUAAAUUUAUGUUUCCUUAUUAUUUCAGAUAGUAAAGAAUCUGCCUACAAUGCAGAAGACCUGGGUUUGAUCCCUGGAUUGAGAAGAUCCCCCGGAGAAGGGAAUAGCUACCCACUCCAGUAUUCUUAGGACUUCCCUGGUGGCUCAAAUGCAAAAUCCUGGCUUCCAAAGGCAAGUGGAAGAAGAUAAGAUAAGCUGAUAAGCAAAGCUCUAACAAAACACCAGACAUUUAUUGAGUGAUCUGUAUGUACCCUGGCCCCAUCCAAUCCUCACAACCAGCCUAGGACCCAGGCACAGAGAGGCUGAGGAAGCUGCCUGGUCACACAGCUAGUUCACAGCAAAGCCAGGAUUCAGACCCAGAGCGUGGCUCCAGGGUGAGCCCCUCAACUCUUCCCUCCUUAACCACCUCCCUUUGCUUAAGAUAGAAGGCACUGGGGGCCCCAAAGAGAGGAGUGAUCAUAGAGCUGAGAAACUGAGCGGAAGGAGAGAUCACUUCCACAGUGGGCUAGGGACACUGGGAAGGUUUCUGUGAUGUUUUGGAUUCAGGGACAACACCUGCGCCAUGCCAGUGACAGGCGAGAUCCAUCACACCUGAGACACAGUGGACCACAUUCAGAAAGAUGGGAAGAUGGAGGCUUCCAGUGCAGACCUGUUUGGCCAGCUUUCAUGAUCUCGAGUGUCCCGUUUUGUAGCAAGCACCUUUGAAAGGAAGACAGGACAUUGGCCAGAACAUUUGCACGUGGCUUCAACAUGACCAUCCAGUUCCCAACUGUGAUGCUCUUAAAGGUCAUCGUUCGUAGCUCUUCGUACAUUACUUAACCAUGGAAUUUCACACACUAGAAUGGAACCUCCCUGAGGGCAGGGACCAGACUUAGCAAGGACAAGCUCAGUUCGUAUUAGAGGAGUAAUGAAGUUUCUCUGUCUCUCUACCACACUCUGGACUCUACAGGGUCAGGGCUUGUCUCCAGACCCCGGCAUCCAGCACAGGUUAAAACCCCACCCCUAGGUGUCUAAAGACCACUAAGCCCUGGCCGAAACAUAAAUGUGGAGGAGACAGAAACCCUGGGAGGAGGUCCUCCUGAAACAAACACCCCCAUUUCGGGGCCUGAUAUAUGUGAAUGAAAAUGGUGUUUAAUUGGCUAAAACCAGAGCUGUCAUCACCUAAUCAGAGAGCUUGAAAAUAGAUUUUCAGCACCUUCCGCUUGUGCUGGGGACAGUGGUGCAGUGGCUCCGGGAGUCCGGGGCUGCUGGAGACAGCAGCAGGCGUCCGUCUGUCUGGGGAGCAGCUGGACGUUUGGUUAUUCAAUCAGGGGAGUCCAAAGCAUCGGAGCGAGCCCAGGGAGGGGGGAGGCAAGGAAGCCUUCAUUUCUGGGAAAGCCAACAGC